UCAAGCGAAGAGGGGCGUACGGUGGAUGCCUAUGGAGUUGCUCGGCGAAGAAGGCCGUGACAAGCUGCGAUAAGCCACGGGGAGGAGCACAUAUCCAGAGAUCCGUGGAUGGCCGAAUGGGGUAACCCAAUCAGUGCAAGCUGGUUAGCGUAAUCUGAACAAACUAGGGUUACGCGGCGAACCCAGGGAACUGAACCAUCUCAGUACCUGGAGGAAAAGACAUCAAAAGAGAUUUCCUAAGUAGCGGCGAGCGAACGGGAAAGAGCCCAAACUCACGUCAGUGUCAAGGUGCAUGCCGUUGCUGACGGGGGGUAGUAGAUACAGAUUGGAGGGACAUGCAGGACCUCGCGAAGUUAGAGAAAACGUUACUAUAGGGGAACGGCAUGGGAAGGCCGUCCUAAGAGGGUGAGAGGCCCGUACCCGGCAUAGUGACGACUUCGUGGAUCUGAUAUCUGAGUACGGCGAGGCUCGAGAAACCUUGUCGGAAGCUGGGUCGACCACGAUCCAAGGCUAAAUACGAAGCGACUACCGAUAGUGAAGAAGUACCGUGAGGGAAAGGUGAAAAGAACCCCGGUGAGGGGAGUGAAAGAGAACCUGAAACCAUACGCCCACAACAGGUCGGAGGAGGGAGCGAUCCUUCUGACGGCGUGCCUUUUGUAGAAUGAGCCUGCGAGUUACGAUGUAUAGCGAGGUUAAAGCGUAGAAGCGCUGGAGCCGUAGGGAAACCGAGUCUUAAAUGGGCGGAAUUAGUUGUAUAUCGUAGACCCGAAGCCAGGUGAUCUUAUCAUGGCCAGGUUGAAGCUCAGGUAACACUGAGUGGAGGACCGAACUCUAGUGUGAUGAAAAACGCAGGGAUGAGUUGUGAUAAGGGGUGAAAGGCUAAUCAAACCUGGAAAUAGCUGGCACUCCCCGAAAUGCCUUGAGGGACAGCCUCAUACAAAUGUCUAGGAGGUAGAGCACUGUUUGGACUAGGGCUCUUCACCGGGUACCAAACCCAGGCAAACUCCGAAUGCCUAGACACAACGUAUGGGAGUGAGACUGUGUGCAACAAAGUUCAUAGUCGAGAGGGGAACAGCCCAGACCGACAGCUAAGGUCCCAAAAUGCCGCUAAGUGUGAAAUGAGGUGUUAUUGCAAAGACAGCCAGGAUGUUGGCUUAGAAGCAGCCACUCAUUAAAAGAGUGCGUAAUAGCUCACUGGUCGAGCAAUGGCGCGCAGACAAUGUAACGGGGCUAAGCGGUAUACCGAAGCUUCGGAUUUGGCGAGUAAUCGUCAGAUGGUAGGGGAGCAUUCCAUGGACCGGAGAAGGUUACCCGGGAGGGUAGCUGGAGGGGAUGGAAGAGAGAAUGCAGGUAUAAGUACACGAAAAGACGGGUGAGAUUCCCGUCCGCCGAAAACCUAAGGUUUCCUGGGUAAAGGUCAUCUGCCCAGGGUUAGUCGGCCCCUAAGAUGAGGCGGAAACGCGUAGUCGAUGGGAAGCUGGUUCAUAUUCCAGCACCUUGUAUGGAUUCGAGGGGAUGACGCAUGAGGUGAAACCCGGCCGGAGAACGGUUGUUCCGGUCGAAGCAGCAAGCCGUUGAGAGUUCUAGGAAAAUCCGGAGCUUGAGGUGAGCUGUGACAGCGAGUGGAGCUACGGCGAAGCGAAGCGGGCGUAAUCAUGGUGCCAAGAAAGAAUCUCUAAGGCUAGUCCAUACAAGACCGUACCGUAAACCGACACAGGUAGGUGGGAUGAGCAAUCUAAGGCGCUCGAGAUAACUCGCGUUAAGGAACUCGGCAAAAUGCACACGUAACUUCGGGAGAAGUGUGGCCUAUGAGAGUAGGUUGCAGAGAGCAGGCCCAAGCGACUGUUUACCAAAAACACAGGACUCUGCGAACGCGCAAGCGGACGUAUAGGGUCUGACGCCUGCCCGGUGCUGGAAGGUUAAGAGGAGGAGUUAGCGGGUUUACCUGCGAAGCCCUGAAUCGAAGCCCCAGUAAACGGCGGCCGUAACUAUAACGGUCCUAAGGUAGCGAAAUUCCUUGUCGGGUAAGUUCCGACC
rnacentral:rRNA from 1 species